UUCCGCCUACGGGACGCAGCAGUGGGGAAUAUUGCACAAUGGGGGAAACCCUGAUGCAGCGACGCCGCGUGAGUGAAGAAGUAUUUCGGUAUGUAAAACUCUAUCAGCAGGGGAGAAAAUGACGGUACCUGACCAAGAAGCCCCGGCUAACUACGUGCCAGCAGCCGCGGUAAUACGUAGGGGGCAAGCGUUAUCCGGAUUUACUGGGUGUAAAGGGAGCGUAGACGGCUGAGCAAGUCAGAAGUGAAAGCCCGGGGCUCAACCCCGGGACUGCUUUUGAAACUGCGGAGCUGGAGUGGAGGAGG
rnacentral:rRNA from 1 species